rnacentral:rRNA from 1 species
GACGAACGCUGGCGGCGUGCUUAACACAUGCAAGUCGAACGGAAAGGCCUCAGCUUGCUGGGGUACUCGAGUGGCGAACGGGUGAGUAACACGUGGGUGAUCUGCCUUGCACUCUGGGAUAAGCUUGGGAAACUGGGUCUAAUACCGGAUAUGAACUGCCUUUAGUGUGGUGGUUGGAAAGUUUUUUCGGUGCAAGAUGAGCUCGCGGCCUAUCAGCUUGUUGGUGGGGUAAUGGCCUACCAAGGCGUCGACGGGUAGCCGGCCUGAGAGGGUGUACGGCCACAUUGGGACUGAGAUACGGCCCAGACUCCUACGGGAGGCAGCAGUGGGGAAUAUUGCACAAUGGGCGGAAGCCUGAUGCAGCGACGCCGCGUGGGGGAUGACGGCCUUCAGGUUGUAAACUCCUUUCGACAGGGACGAAGCUUUUUGUGACGGUACCUGUAUAAGAAGCACCGGCUAACUACGUG